GUGCCUUCAUAUUUUGUUUUUAACAUACUUUAGGCUUAGGACCAUAAUUACUUUUAUAGCCCUUCUGAGCCAAUCUGAAUUGUGGUUGUAAGAAAUGUACUAAAUCAUUUCCACAGCAUUCCUUUUUUAAAAGACUUUUAUUUUUCUAGAGCAAUUUUAGGUUCACCGUAAAAUUGACAAAAAGGUUCAGAGACUUCCCAUAUCCCACCCACACACCUCCCUAUUAGCAACCUCCACCAUAGUGGUGCAUUUGUUAUAGUCAGUGAACCUGCAGAGACACAUCAUUGCUCAAAGACUAUAGUUUAUGUUAGGAUUCACUCUUGGUGUUGCACAUUGAAUGGGACUGAACAAAUCUAUAAUGACAUGUAUCCACUGUACUUUUUAAAAUUAAUGUAUUUACUUAUUCAUUCAUUCUGUGGUGCAGGGGAUUGAAUCCAGGCCCUUGCACAUGCUAGGCAAGUAUUCUACCACAUAGCUGCAAUCUUAGCCACCAUUUUUUUAAAUUUAUUUUUUAUUGUAUGUAUUUAAGGUGUACAACUUGAUGUUUUUAUUGUGUCCAUCAUUAUAGUAUCAUGCAAAGUAUUAUCACUAAUCUAAAAAUCCUCUGUGCUCUGCCUAUUCAUCCCUCCCUCUAAUCCCUGGUACCCUACUGAUGUGUGAACUGCCACCAUGGUUUUUACCAUAGCACCCUUGAAGGAGGUUUGAGCGUUUGGCCUGAGAUUUUUAAAUGCUUACGAAAUACAUGGUUGGGGCUGGGGUUGGGGCUCAGUGGUAGAGCGCUUGCCUAGCACAUGUGAGGCUCUGGGUUCAAUCCUCAGUACCACAUAAAAAUGAAAUAAAGAUAAUGUGUCCACCUACAACUAAAAAAUAAAGAUUUUUUUUUUAAAAAAAGAAAUACAUGGUUAAAAUAUAUUCCCUUUGUAUGUGAGUCUCCCAUCACCUGAAAGUGACUAACCACAAAAUAUUUACUAAAAGGCCAUGUUUGUGACUGCUUGCCAUUAACUAGACAGAUAACCAAUGAAGAAAUGACAACUUCCUGGCCACAUGGCUUUCAUUUCCUGUCAUGAAAUGUGUGUUUGGGCUCACAGGGUUCUCUGGUUUUAGUUGCAAAAGACACUCUGCUGAGAGACAGGAGAAGAACCCUAGACUUGCCUGCCAUCGUCUGAGGGUUCCCACAGCCUCUUGGAGACUUACAAGAAAGAUAAAGUAAAAUGAUUUAGUUGGGAAAAUCAGAUGCAUGCAAAUCCAGUUGCCAAGGAAGGACUGAGUCGUGGGUUGGGAUGGGCCCACUCAGGAAGGCAGUCUGUUUUCCUGGUAGACCUUAGAGCAGCCCCAGUGUCCGCCAGAGUCAGCCUCAAUCUGCUGUGUUUCUUACUGUGUUCCCAGGUAGAUAAGAAAGCCAGAAAGUAGACAGCUAGUCCAUACUCGCCUAGGUGAAGCUUCUUAGGUUGGAACCUUUGGCAAAGCCCAGGGCAACUCAGAAGUCAGUGUAGAUCCCAGAUAUGGAAAAGUCAGAACUAGACUCUGAUGAUUUACAGUCCUGUUUGCAUCAAAACAAAAAGACCUGAAUACUUUUGUGCUUCCUUCAAACUCCCAAAUGUACGGUAUGAGUGUCCACUUCUUUCUCCUCCCUCUCAUUACAUAGAAUUUGGAAAAAGUGUCUGCUGGCCCCCAGGGAAUGGCAGAUGGCUGUCUUUGCUCUCUGUAGCUCCAAGCCAUGCGGUCAUUGCCAGGGCCAAUUGUAGAGGUCAGGGACAGCUUCGCUGGGUCACUCAUCUCCACAGUAAGGCAGUUCUGUUUUCCUCUAAUAGAUAGUUUGACAAAGGGGCUUUGAAAAAAUUAACUGGAGUAUCUAAUCCCUAUUGUUUUAUCUCUAGAUUUGGAUAAAAGCAGUGAAUGUAAUUAUUAAUUUUGGUUCCAAAAACUAUAUAGCACUAACAGAUGUACUUUGAAAUAUUUUUAAUAUAUUAAAAACCGAAGCUAAAUGUAGUGACACAUGCCUGUAAUCCCAGCUACUUGAUGCCAUCCUGGGCAACUUAGCGAGAACCUAUAGCAAAACAAAAUUUUUUAUAAAGGGCUGAGAUGUGUGUAGCCCAGUAUGGUAGAGCACUUGUCUAGCAUGUGCAAGGCCCUGGGUUCAAAGAACUGAAAUAAAAGAAACAAAAGCAAACAAAAAAACUAGGACAUCUUUUAUAAUCACACAGAAAGUUUGGUGACUAGCCAAGUGUUGAGUACAGCUGGGACACCAGCUCUGGGGUUUGGCAUCUGCCAUUGUAUAUUUCCUGGCUGCUCCUGGCCUCUGAUCCAAUCCCAGGUAAGCCAUAGGCACAGCCAAACUCAGCAAGAGCUGCUGUGGUGCGGCUUCUGCCUUUAGAGAUGUAUUUUAAAGAUUACUUUCUAGGCCAAAAGUGAGAACCUUAAAUAUUUUGACCUAAGGUUGUUAUAACCCUUUCAAGAUGAAAACCAAAUCAAAUAAAUUACAAAAUUCAAAACAGAAUGUGUGAAACUGAAUGAGGUUUGGGUUUUUCAACUGAAAACAUUGCAAAGCCAGCUUGUAGAAAGAUUCUUCUAAACUAGACACCCUAUGUCAGUGGGUGGCAGUGUUUUAAAUAGCUUGUGCUCUUUUGAAGUCUUUUGAAGCAAUGACAUGUAAGCAUUGCUACCGCAAACACCACCACAACCUUCAGAAUUGUCCUUCACUCAUGAUCGAUGUCUUAACUCCAAGACGUGUCAGGCAGGUAGUUUUAGACACACGAACAGAAUAAAAGUGGUGGGGACCAAGUUUAGCAGCUCCCCAGGUCUGGAUGUGUUGCUUGUAGCGUCCUUUGGUGUCACUUGCAUAAUGGCUGAAUGCCUACCUGUUCUGUUGGAAAUACCGUCACAACUUGUCUGAGUUUGGGAAACAUAAAAUUCAUCCAAAGAGCUCUGUUGUUGCCACAUUAAUUAUCCCACACCAUCUGGAGUUUUUGUUUUAAAUAACCUAUCAUGUGGUAGAUCUAUAUAUGCUG
rnacentral:lncRNA from 1 species